CACCACAGCUAGAAAGAGCGUCUUGGAAUUAGUAAUAUUACAAAGUUUGGUUGCGAAAUGUUGUAAAAUACGGAAAAUAUAGCCCUUCAAAAUUGGCAAACUUGUAUACUUUUGUAUUACGUGCGUGAAUUGGUAACUAAAUUGGUUACAAAAUUUCGGCGCGUAAUAGAAAUGUAUACAAAUUUGCCAAGUUCGCAGGGCUAUAUUUUCCGUAUUUUACAACAUUUCGCAACCAAACAUUGCAGUUUUUCUAAUUUUGAUAACUUCUUUCAGAAAAUAUCCUUUGUUAUUCCCAGAUUAAAAUUUUUUCUUAAGCGCAAGUC